rnacentral:rRNA from 1 species
UACAGAGGCCUCGAGCGUUAGGCGGAAUCACUGGGCUUAAAGCGUGUGUAGGCGGACUUCUAAGUGCCUUGUGAAAUCCCACGGCUCACCCGUGGAACUGCUGGGCAUACUGGGAGUCUUGAGCCACCUAGGGGCGAGCGGAACAAAUGGUGGAGCGGUGAAAUGCGUAGAGAUCCGGAAGAACACCGGUGGCGAAGGCGGCCCGCUGGGCUGUUGCUGACGCUGAGGCGCGACAGCGUGGGGAGCAAACAGG